rnacentral:pre_miRNA from 1 species
UGCAAAGUUACCUAUGAUUUUUGCAAACGCUACAUACGAUUUCGUAUGGAGCGUUUGCAAAAAUCAUAGGUAACUUUGCA